UGGACCGAGAUCAUUACCCCAGCUUCAUGUGAAAUCUUGCAACUCAUUGUUAUAUUUUUGCAUUUUUUUGAAUGUAGGCCCUGUACUGAAUAUGAUGUCCGAAGCAGGGCAGGCUCUGUAAUGACUCUCUGGUGGUCAUUUUAUUGCUAUAGUUAGAUUUAUGUUCAUUGGGGGAGAGAAAAAAUAAAAAUAAUAGAAAAAAAAGGUUAAAGUAAGCCAAGUGGAAUUCCUGUGUUAUCAGAGAAAGCCCUGGAACUAACCCUUCAGUUGUAGAAUGGAGGGAAAUAUCCUCUCACAGAUUCCUCGAUACUGUAAAAGCUCAUAAUCAAUGACAUAUGGACUAUUGUGUUUUUCAAUUUCAAGUCAGGUCAACUGGUAGCGUACACCAACAGGUAGCGUACACCAAAUAAAUUUAGAUUUGAAGUUACAAACUUUUUUUGUGACCUGUCUCUACGAGAGCAUCUUAGAAUGAGCAGAAACAGAAAAGUUGUGACCUCUGAAAACGUGUUUGUGUUAUCCAUAACUGCUGAAACAUAAACUGAGCCGCUUGUUGAGCUCCAGGAUAAGAUGUGGUAAUGUGAUAUAUAUCCUGUAAUAUGCCACUUUGCUAUUCACGUGGGAUGGUCCGUGGUGUCAAAAUACCCGGCAGAAUUUCAUCAGAUUGCUCUAAAUCUGCGGCAUUGCACUGAGAAUUGUUAAAAAUACAAAAUAUAACCCGAGCUUUAGAAAAGACCAUUUCAGAAAGCUCUAUUUUUGAUUAGAUUCCAGUGUGAGACUCAUACGCACAAACCUUUCCCCCGGUGCCAUAAUGCUAAUUUAAAUACUGCAGGUCAAGUUGGACACGCAAUAUCCAGAGUGCAUGUUUGUUCUUUCUCUCUCGCCCUCUCUCUCUCUCUCUCUUACGACUAAGAGUUAUCAGAAAGUUCACGCUGAAGAGCCCGAGAUGGAGACCACCAGGAUGCUCAUCCUCUCUGUGUGCUUGGCCCUGUGUUGCUGGGCGGCCCCGAGGCGCUGCUCUUUCCAACACCAAGCGACUCCUCGCCAACUGUUGCCGCCUCGCCAACUCGCGUGACCUCCAGCAACCUUACGGCGACCCCCGCCUCAAUCGCAGCCACCAACACGACGUCACGGCAGCCCAGGCGGUCCCAGGCUUCAGCUGCGACGUCGGCCUCUUUGCUCGGGCCCUGCGCUCACCUGCUGGUGCCUGCCAUCUCCGUCCUGCUCUGCGGUGCAUUGGUUUGAUAUUGCAUCGCGGAUUCCCCCGUCCUUUAUGGAAAAUGAUAGAUUUUAGACAAACAGCCUUCAAAUUCGAUGGCUCCAACCGUGACUGUCGCACUAUUGUUAAUGGCAUGAAGUGCUUUGUGAGCUCUCUUCCGCUUUUGAUCACGACUCGAUACCAAUACAUGAUGUAUAAUGCCACGCUUCAGUUGUAAGCUACAUAAACACACACAUUUCUCUGGAUGUUUUGACAAAUAAAAUGAUGAUAAAAUUGC